UUUAUGGAGAGUUUGAUCCUGGCUCAGGAUGAACGCUGGCGGCGUGCCUAAUACAUGCAAGUCGAGCGAACGGACGAGAAGCUUGCUUCUCUGAUGUUAGCGGCGGACGGGUGAGUAACACGUGGAUAACCUACCUAUAAGACUGGGAUAACUUCGGGAAACCGGAGCUAAUACCGGAUAAUAUUUUGAACCGCAUGGUUCAAAAGUGAAAGACGGUCUUGCUGUCACUUAUAGAUGGAUCCGCGCUGCAUUAGCUAGUUGGUAAGGUAACGGCUUACCAAGGCAACGAUGCAUAGCCGACCUGAGAGGGUGAUCGGCCACACUGGAACUGAGACACGGUCCAGACUCCUACGGGAGGCAGCAGUAGGGAAUCUUCCGCAAUGGGCGAAAGCCUGACGGAGCAACGCCGCGUGAGUGAUGAAGGUCUUCGGAUCGUAAAACUCUGUUAUUAGGGAAGAACAUAUGUGUAAGUAACUGUGCACAUCUUGACGGUACCUAAUCAGAAAGCCACGGCUAACUACGUGCCAGCAGCCGCGGUAAUACGUAGGUGGCAAGCGUUAUCCGGAAUUAUUGGGCGUAAAGCGCGCGUAGGCGGUUUUUUAAGUCUGAUGUGAAAGCCCACGGCUCAACCGUGGAGGGUCAUUGGAAACUGGAAAACUUGAGUGCAGAAGAGGAAAGUGGAAUUCCAUGUGUAGCGGUGAAAUGCGCAGAGAUAUGGAGGAACACCAGUGGCGAAGGCGACUUUCUGGUCUGUAACUGACGCUGAUGUGCGAAAGCGUGGGGAUCAAACAGGAUUAGAUACCCUGGUAGUCCACGCCGUAAACGAUGAGUGCUAAGUGUUAGGGGGUUUCCGCCCCUUAGUGCUGCAGCUAACGCAUUAAGCACUCCGCCUGGGGAGUACGACCGCAAGGUUGAAACUCAAAGGAAUUGACGGGGACCCGCACAAGCGGUGGAGCAUGUGGUUUAAUUCGAAGCAACGCGAAGAACCUUACCAAAUCUUGACAUCCUUUGACAACUCUAGAGAUAGAGCUUUCCCCUUCGGGGGACAAAGUGACAGGUGGUGCAUGGUUGUCGUCAGCUCGUGUCGUGAGAUGUUGGGUUAAGUCCCGCAACGAGCGCAACCCUUAAGCUUAGUUGCC
rnacentral:rRNA from 1 species